ensembl:snRNA
GUGUGGCAUGAAGGUGAGAAGGUUAGUACUGCUCUUGAUAAGGAUGGAAGAGGCCCUCGGGCCUGACAACGUGCAUACGGUUAAGGCAUUUUCACCUACUUUGUGGCAUCUAACCACUGUUUUUU